CAGUGCAACACGAAACGAAGGAAGUUUUCUUCUAAACCAGUUAUACUCACAGAAGCUCAGAAGCAACUUAUGGUGUGUCGGCUACCUCAGGUUCUCAGAUUACACCUUAAACGGUUUAGGUGGUCAGGACGCAAUCAUCGUGAGAAGAUCGGCGUACAUGUUAGUUUUGACCAAAUGCUAAACAUGGAGCCUUAUUGCUGCAGGGAAUCCCUCAAGUCUCUCCUG